rnacentral:rRNA from 3 species
GGGACACGUGGUAUCCUGUCUGAAUAUGGGGGGACCAUCCUCCAAGGCUAAAUACUCCUGACUGACCGAUAGUGAACCAGUACCGUGAGGGAAAGGCGAAAAGAACCCCGGCGAGGGGAGUGAAAAAGAACCUGAAACCGUGUACGUACAAGCAGUGGGAGCACAGGUUUACCUGUGUGACUGCGUACCUUUUGUAUAAUGGGUCAGCGACUUAUAUUCUGUAGCAAG